GUGGGGAAUCUUGCGCAAUGGGCGAAAGCCUGACGCAGCCAUGCCGCGUGGAUGAUGAAGGUCUUAGGAUUGUAAAAUCCUUUCACCGGUGAAGAUAAUGACUGUAGCCGGAGAAGAAGCCCCGGCUAACUUCGUGCCAGCAGCCGCGGUAAUACGAAGGGGGCUAGCGUUGCUCGGAUUUACUGGGCGUAAAGGGCGCGUAGGCGGACAUUUAAGUCAGGGGUGAAAUCCCGGGGCUCAACCUCGGAACUGCCUUUGAUACUGGGUGUCUUGAGUAUGAGAGAGGUGUGUGGAACUCCGAGUGUAGAGGUGAAAUUCGUAGAUAUUCGGAAGAACACCAGUGGCGAAGGCGACACACUGGCUCAUUACUGACGCUGAGGCGCGAAAGCGUGGGGAGCAAACAGGAUUAGAUACCCCAGUAGUCC
rnacentral:rRNA from 1 species